ACCAACACUAGGAGGGAUGUGGUAUUAUUUCCUCCUUUAUAUACGUAAAGCAAAGUAAGGCACAGAGAGGUUAAGUAACUUUCCGAAGGUCACAUAGAUGGAGGAAAAAAAGCUUUUUUCAGCAUGUAUAUCAGCAGUGAAAAAAGACGAAAGAACAUAAGUAGAUAUCUUAACAGUGGUUUCCUGCAAUGAGUAGGAUUAUAUGUGCUUUUUACUUCUUUUCGCUCUUCUGCUUCUCUGACUUUUCUUAGUGAAUGUGUGUUACAUGAAAUUCAAGUUCAAGUUUUAAAAACUAAAAAGGAACAGACGCAGAGGGGAGAGUGCUAAGUGCUGGGGUGUUGAUGAAAUCAAGCGGGCGGAAACUCUGAGGAACAGCUGAAGCCCAGUGCUAUGGAAGGGGUGUGUUCUUGGAAAGCUUGAGGGCAGAGCAGUGGAUAUUGAAGUUGGCUUUCCUUAAGUAUAGGGAAGAGCAAGUGUGUAGGGGCACAGUGAGCAAUUCUGACAAAUGUAGGGCUGCAAGACCAUGGGUGUGUGUGCACUAGGCUGAAUAAUAGCGCUUAAAGAUAUUCAGAUCCUAGCACUAGAAGCUGUAAAUAUUACCUUAGGUGACAAGAGACUGCAGGUGUGAUUAAGUGAAGGCACGUGAGAUGGGGUCCUUGUCCUGAAUUAGCCAGGGGGGCCCUGAAUGCGUCCUUACAAGGGGUUAGGCAGAAGGAUAUUUGACCACAGAGCAUGGAAGAAGCUGAUGGAAUGCCCCCAGCAAGAUGCCUGACUUUCUCCACCCUGCCGGCCUUGAAGAUGGAGGGCAGGCCAGGAGUCAAGCAAUGCAAGGAACACAGCUCUAGAACCUGGGGCCUGCAGGAGAACAGACUGUGCCCUCGGGUCUCCAGAGGAAGAGUGGUCCCACCAACACCUUCGUUGCGGCCCAGCGCAGUGGAGUUUGGACUUCUGGCCUCCAAGACGAUAAGACAAUAAAUAUGCCUUGUUGGA